CGAGAAGCUUGCUUCUCUGAUGUUAGCGGCGGACGGGUGAGUAACACGUGGAUAACCUACCUAUAAGACUGGGAUAACUUCGGGAAACCGGAGCUAAUACCGGAUAAUAUUUUGAACCGCAUGGUUCAAGAGUGAAAGACGGUCUUGCUGUCACUUAUAGAUGGAUCCGCGCUGCAUUAGCUAGUUGGUAAGGUAACGGCUUACCAAGGCAACGAUGCAUAGCCGACCUGAGAGGGUGAUCGGCCACACUGGAACUGAGACACGGUCCAGACUCCUACGGGAGGCAGCAGUAGGGAAUCUUCCGCAAUGGGCGAAAGCCUGACGGAGCAACGCCGCGUGAGUGAUGAAGGUCUUCGGAUCGUAAAACUCUGUUAUUAGGGAAGAACAUAUGUGUAAGUAACUGUGCACAUCUUGACGGUACCUAAUCAGAAAGCCACGGCUAACUACGUGCCAGCAGCCGCGGUAAUACGUAGGUGGCAAGCGUUAUCCGGAAUUAUUGGGCGUAAAGCGCGCGUAGCGGUUUUUUAAGUCUGAUGUGAAAGCCCACGGCUCAACCGUGGAGGGUCAUUGGAAACUGGAAAACUUGAGUGCAGAAGCAGGAAAGUGGAAUUCCAUGUGUACGGUGAAAUGCGCAGAGAUAUGGAGGAACACCAGUGGCGAAGGCGACUUUCUGGUCUGUAACUGACGCUGAUGUGUGAAAGCGUGGGGAUCAAACAGGAUUAGAUACCCUGGUAGUCCACGCCGUAAACGAUGAGCUCGCUAAGUGUUAGGGGGUUUCCGCCCCUUAGUGCUGCAGCUAACGCAUUAAGCACUCCGCC
rnacentral:rRNA from 1 species